AACGAACGCUGGCGGCAGGCUUAACACAUGCAAGUCGAGCGCCCCGCAAGGGGAGCGGCAGACGGGUGAGUAACGCGGGGGAAUCUACCCAUCUCUACGGAAUAACGCAUGGAAACGUGUGCUAAUACCGGAUACGUCCUUCGGGAGAAAGAUUUAUCGGAGAUGGAUGAGCCCGCGUUGGAUUAGCUAGUUGGUGGGGUAAAGGCCUACCAAGGCGACGAUCCAUAGCUGGUCUGAGAGGAUGAACAGCCACACUGGGACUGAGACACGGCCCAGACUCCUACGGGAGGCAGCAGUGGGUGAUAUUGGACAAUGGGCGCAAGCCUGAUCCAGCCAUGCCGCGUGAGUGAUGAAGGCCCUAGGGUUGUAAAGCUCUUUCACCGGUGAAGAUAAUGACGGUAACCGGAGAAGAAGCCCCGGCUAACUUCGUGCCAGCCGCCGCGGUAACAC
rnacentral:rRNA from 1 species